UACAGAGGGUGCGAGCGUUGUCCGGAAUUACUGGGCGUAAAGGGCGCGUAGGCGGCCAGGUAAGUCGGGGGUGAAAUCGGACGGCUCAACCGUCCGACGGCCUUCGAGACUGCCGGGCUGGAGCACGGCAGAGGCUGGUGGAAUUCCCGGUGUAGCGGUGGAAUGCGUAGAGAUCGGGAAGAACAUCGGUGGCGAAGGCGGCCAGCUGGGCCGUUGCUGACGCUGAGGCGCGACAGCGUGGGGAGCAAACAGG
rnacentral:misc_RNA from 1 species